UACGGAGGGUGCAAGCAUUAAUCGGAUUUAUUGGGCGUAAAGGGCGCGUAGGCGGGUAUGUAAGUCAGAUGUGAAAUCUCGGAGCUCAACUCCGGAACGGCAUUUGAAACUGCAUGUCUAGAGGGUAGACGGAGAAAGUAGAAUUCCACAAGUAGCGGUGAAAUGCGUAGAUAUGUGGAAGCAUACCAGUGGCGAAGGCGACUUUCUAGUUUAUACCUGACGCUGAGGCGCGAAAGCAAGGGGAUCAAACAGG
rnacentral:rRNA from 1 species